AUGGAGAUACAGACUUCAGGGAAGCCCAUUGAUAUGCUGAUGGAGAAGGUUCUCUGUAUGAAUAUUCUUUCUUCUGAUUACUUCAAGGAGCUCUACAGGAUGAAGACCUAUCAUGAGGUCAUUGACGAGAUCUACAACCAAGUUGAUCAUGUGGAGCCUUGGAUGACUGGCAAUUGUAGGGGUCCUUCCACUGCAUUUUGUCUCCUCUACAAGUUCUUCACAAUGAAGCUUACUGUGAAACAGAUGCAUGGUUUGUUGAAGCAUCCUGACUCGCCAUACAUUAGAGCUAUAGGAUUUUUGUAUCUUCGAUAUGUUGCAGAUCCAAAGAUCCUAUGGACAUGGUAUGAGCCCUACUUGAAGGAUGAUGAGGAAUUCUCCCCCGGAUCUAAUGGUCGCAUGACAACCAUGGGUGUAUAUGUGCGUGAUCUUAUACUUGGACAGUACUACUUUGAUAGUAUCCUUCCAAGAGUUCCUGUUCCAGUAGUUCGUCAAGUAACAACCAAUCUUGAGAAGAUGAAGCUGCCUACCAAGCUUUCUGGGGUGACUGGAGACAGUCGCCACGGAUCAGAGGACACUGCCCGUCGCCCCCCUUCUGUUAAAGCUUCUCUGUCGGUUUCUUUUGGACAGCGUGCGCCACACCGUGCUUCCACACGGGAUUCUUCCCCAGUGCGGCGAACAGUCACCCAAGAUGAUCAUCGGAGAUCAUCUUCACCAUUUCGUCGCAGUGUAAGUCGGGAGGGGCCUUACAAUGACCGUUCAAGUCACGACCGAGAAGGUAACCGUUCAAGCCGUGACCGAGAUACUGACCGUUCAAGCCGUGACCGAGAUACUGGCCGUUCAAGCCAUGACCGAGAUACUGGCCAUUCAAGCCGUCACCGAGAGCGUGAUCGUUCAAGCCAUGACAGAGAGCGUGAUUAUGACCGUGACAGCAGGGAUUGUGACUAUUACAGGUCCAGGCAUUCAGAAGAAAGAAGGGAUUACGGAAGCGAGCGUGACAAUAGUAGACAGACGCUCCAGCUCAUGUCAUAG
rnacentral:rRNA from 1 species